GAUAGGCUUGAUAUGAACGGUGGAAGUGAUCCUGAUGCUUGUGUCAUGGAGACCAAAAAAUCAAGUUUGAUGUUGGAAAACGUAUCUGAUUUAUGUAUGGAUGCAGGGAUUUUGAAGCCUGAUUUGACCAGUUCUGAUGACAGAGACGAGGCUGGAGAACUGGAUUCUGUAGAUACUGAACUUGUGUCUAAGAAUUCAGUUCAGGUAAACUGUCAUGUAGAUAAGCAAGAGGUGGAUUUUAACAGGGACUGUGAGAUUCAGAUUGGUGUUUGUAUUGGAAGUGGUCAAGGGGAUGAGGAUCUGAUUACAGUUUCUCGGGAAGGUGUUGAAAUUGAUGGAGAUGCCUCAGAGAUUGGCCUGCCUUACAUACCGUGUGAAGUUUCUACCAAGCCUUUAGGGGAAGAAAUCAGGGGAGUUGUUUCUUCGCCUGUACAUGAUUUGAAAAAUAGAAAAGCAGAAAAAACUGAAGUAAGUAGGUCGAACUGCUCUUUGGAAGACAGUAAGCCCAAUAUGGUGUUGUUUGGGAAUAAUUCUCGUCUUGCUGCUGCUAGGGGAGGGGGAUUAUGUCCUCUUAAUGGAUCCCGGAAUAUGACUCAGUUAGAAUCUGAUUCUGAGUGUAAGCUAGAUGUGAAUUACUUAGAAAGCAAUAUUUCGUUUCAGAGGAAACAGAUAUCUGAAGCUUCUAAUGCUGAUAAAUUAUCAGAGCUGGAACUUGAGAAUGUUGGUGAUAAGCAGUGUGAGAAUGCUACUCAGUCAGCUGAGCAGCCCUUGUCAAGCACUUCACGGUCAGCCCAGGUUGAAUCCUGCCAGAUUCUUGGCAGCUAUUUAUUGGGAGAGUCUACUCUCACGGAGAAUGGAGAUCCAGGCUGCAGAGCUUCAGCUGCAUUGCAAGAAGUCCAGGUGGGUAGGAAUCUACAAUUAGAUACAUUUUCUACAACUUGCUUUCUCCAGAAGUGCAAUGGUACGAAUCGCGGUGGUUGUUCUGUUUCUGAUCUGGUUCCUAACCGAGAACAGACAGGAAGUAGUUCAUCAGUUGUGGAGAAACCUUGUAGGAAUGGCGAUGUGAAAUUGUUUGGACAGAUUCUCAGUAAACCAUGCCCCAAGGCAAAUCCCAGUUCUAAUGCAGAGCGGAUUGAUGGUAGCAAUCAGAUGUUGAAAGUUGGUAGCAAUUCCUUUAGUGCAAGUCAUAGUUUAGAAGGCAAUUCAGCCACUGCAAAAUUCGAGCGAAAUAACUUCCUGGGUUCUGAGAAUCAUCCAUUGAGGAGUUUUGGUUUUUGGGAUGGGAGUAGAAUUCAGACAGGGUUUUCUUCGUUGCCCGAUUCUGCUAUCCUGCUGGCUAAAUAUCCUGCGGCAUUUGGUAGCUAUGGGUUAUCUUCCACCAAAAUGGAGCAGCCUAGUUUGCAUGGGGUUGUGAAGACGACUGAGCGGAAUUUGAACAGUCCCCCUGUGUUUGCAGCAAGAGAUUCAAGUAGCAACAGUGCAGUAGCAGGAUCAGAUUAUCAAGUGUACAGAAAUCGAGAUGUGCAGCCUUUUACAAUAGAGAUGAAACAGAGGCAAGACGCAGUAUUCUCUGAGAUGCAAAGAAGAAAUGGGUUUGAUGUUGUUGGUAUUCCGCAACAAGCAAGGGGGGUGGUUGUCGGAAGAGGAGGGAUUCUGCAGUGCAGUGGUGUGGUGUCAGAUCCGGUGGCUGCCAUAAAAAUGCAUUAUGCGAAAGCUGAACAAUUUAGUGGGCAGGCGGGAAGCAUUAUGAGAGAGGAUGAUUCUUGGAGAAGUAAAGGGGAUGUGAGCAGGUAGUUGAGGCCAGACUCUGGUGGUUGGUCUCCCUGUGGCAAGUGUCUUUUUGCCACAAAUGUACAAUAGUUUUUGUAAGUUUAAUCCAGGAAACCAUAGGGCAGUAGACGGUUACAGUAGUUGCCGUCUUUUUGGUUGCAGAAUUCUAGGGUCUGUAAUAUUUGCAAGUAGGUUUGUAUUUUGUUGUAUUUGAUGGGGAAUACAGCAAUAAAUUAUCAAGAGUUUGGUAGGUGGAG
rnacentral:misc_RNA from 1 species